rnacentral:RNase_P_RNA from 1 species
CAAAGUGGGAUAAAUGUCUGCUUCCCUGAAAUAGGGGAGAGGAAAGUCCGGGCACCAAAGGGCGGGAUACUUCCUAACGGGAAGCUCUGGUGACGGAGAGCUAGCUCCACAGAAACAAACCGCCCUUCACUAUUUUAACUUUGUUGGUGAUUGUUUACGAUGAUAACUUGAAAUGCUAAAAUGGUGAAGGGUAAGGGUGAAAUGGUAGUGUAAGAGACUACCGGAUAUAUUGGUGACAAUAUAUGCCAGGAAUGCCUUAUUCGGUGCAAUGCUAAAUAGGAGAACAGUGCCUCGUGCCGUAUGUCUGCCCGGCAUACUUUGUUCUCGGGUGAGCAGCUAAAACCGGUUUGGGAAACCAAAUCUCCUUAAGGGGAAUAGUAAUAUCCGGUUCAGACAAAUAGACAUUGUUCUGUUUAUUAAACAGAAUACAGAACCCGGCUUAUUUCCCUCUUUGACAU